GUGAGAGGAAUGCUUUUCCAAUACAUUUCAAAUACUUAGUUCCGUUUAUGUAAUGUGUGUAUCACUCUUACAAAUCACUGCAUUUAAACGAUAACUAAAUUAGUUUUUCCUUUUAGUCCGUGCAGUUUAGUCCACAUUUCUUUGCUAUAUGAACUCCAGCUGCUUCUUGUUCUGUCUAUUCAAGCAAAAUUAAAAUCUAUAUUUACUUAGUUCUCAUAUCUAAUGUACCUUGCCGACAUUUCACGUCUUCGCUACAUUUCAACACCUCAAUGAUUAAUGCAAAGGCAAAAAUAGGUACGACUUCGUGUCCCUUACAUCCAAGUUCAUUGCCUGUAAAUCUCUGGACCAUUAUGCAAAAGGCUUGAAGCACAUACUGGCACUGGGAUCCAGGCACGUCUUGUAAUAUAUGAGCAGGCAUCAGGCAGAGAAAUGUUAGUUUUCAGACUGCAUCUGGUGAAUAGUUCCCAUCUGGCACACUGCCUUUAUUAAUGAGACACUUGACAGGGCAACCCCAAUGGAGGUUAGAACCAAAGCAAGGAAUAUGAAAAGCGGAACUUGCUUCGAACGCGAAAUCUUGUGGUUUUUGGAUCUAUCUAGCGCUCGAAUCGUACUCAAAAAAUGCCUGGCAUCUCGGUUCUCCUAUCCUUUGUUUCCAUGGCACCUAUCAGGUUACACAGCUACAAUUUACUGUAGGUCAUCUAAUCAACUUGUGUGGCAAAAGCGGAGCACGAAAUGUUUUAAAUGUGAAGAAAAAGCACAACAUUCAAACUAAAAAAAAAACGAAGGUCUGCUGCUUUGACAAGUAACGCUGUUAACACUUUUUUCAGGUCAUGGACAGAAUACUCUUUAUGCUCUAACAGGAUUAAAAUAGUGCAGCAACUUUACUUUUCUUGAGGAAAAACAAACAGAAACUUGACGGUAGGGCUAACGAUUUUUCCAGCUUGCUCUUCUUGAUAUUGCCGCUGCCCCUUUAGUUUCAUUAACAAGCUUCAUAAUCAAAGCAAACGGAGAGAGGAGUUUGCUGCAUCUUCUACCUACCAUUAUUUGUAUGUCCAUUAUUCAUUUUUAAGACCUUUUACGCACAAAUUGAGUCAGAUUAUUCAAUUAAUAUUUAAUUUCAAAUAUUUACU
rnacentral:lncRNA from 1 species